UGGGGAAUUUUGGACAAUGGGGGCAACCCUGAUCCAGCCAUGCCGCGUGAGUGAAGAAGGCCUUCGGGUUGUAAAGCUCUUUCGGCGGGGACGAAACGGUCCGUGACAACACCACGGACUAAUGACAGUACUCGCAGAAGAAGCACCGGCUAACUACGUGCCAGCAGCCGCGGUAAUACGUAGGGUGCAGGCGUUAAUCGGAAUUACUGGGCGUAAAGCGUGCGCAGGCGGCUCCUUAAGUCAGAUGUGAAAUCCCCGGGCUUAACCUGGGAACUGCGUUUGAAACUGAGGGGCUAGAGUGUGGAAGAGCGGGCUGGCAAGGCGCA
rnacentral:rRNA from 1 species